UUAAAGAGCAAAAAGUCAACAUUUCACCCAAAGUAUUACUAAGUCACGUUGAUAAGUGUUAGUGGGAAAAUUCUGAUUUUUGGUUGAGAAACAAAAAGGGAAAAAGGAAAAGAGAAAACAAAGCUAUGGUCAAUUUUCCCCAUUAAUGGUGUCUUCUUCCUCACUCCACCAUGUCCAUUUGUCACUCAUGCAAUCACAACUUUCUUCUCCUUCUUCAGACAAAUCUGUCACCAAUCCUCACCCAAAGCUUCUUCAAGUUAACAAAAUCAGAUUAAUUACUUCACCAUCUUCCUCCUAACCACUGAUUUUUAACUCCAAAUUUCCCUAUAAAUAGUCAUUAAUGCAACACCAAGAACACACCAACAACAACCUUCAUCAUCUCUUCUCCCUCUAAUCAGAAAUUCAGUCAAUAAUCGCCGGAAAAGUUGUAACUAAAUGAAAUAAAAAAAAAAAAAAAAAAGAGGAAGGAGAAAACCCCAAAUUCAUAAUCUCUCUCCUCUGUUUCGAACCCCCACAACCGACCACCGUCGGCCACCGCGCGCGCCACCUGCGCCGCGCACAGUCCCGCCCACACCUCGCCAACUCGCCGGUCAUCAGCCCGCCGCCGGAGAUCCACGCCAGCACCCUCACGUUCGCUCUCUCCUCCUCCUCGCGCACUCUCUCUCCUAGUCGCGCGCUCCGCGUCGCAUGCCGCUGCUGCUGCCUUUCGCCGCCGCCGGAGACUAACGUCGCUGACACUGACCGCCGCUGAUCGACGCCGUUCACCGAAGCCGGCGUCCCACCUCAGCCACGAUUUAGUUCUCCCUGCUCCUAGUAGCAGAGAUUAAAGAAGAUAAAGGAUAUUACAAGCCUCCCCCGGCUAUCAUGGUUGGUAAGCAGGAAUUCAGGUAUGGAAGAACAGAUAUGGAUCACUAUUAUACUGCGUUUGGAGUUUAUGUAUGACUCAUGAGGUUUUAAGAUACUGUGUAUAAUGGAUAAACAAGUAUUAUCUUGCGAUGAGUAUUUGUAUAGUGAAUUUUCAAUUUUAGGCUAUUAUUUUAUUUGUGGGCCAUAACCCACAGGAUUAAGUUAUGUUUCCGCUGACGAUUAAGGUUAUGUAAAUUUGU